GAAGGCGCCGGGCGGCUGCAACAACCCCUGCACCGUGUUCAAGACGGACCAGUACUGUUGCAACUCCGGCAGCUGCAGCCCGACCGACUACUCCCGGUUCUUCAAGAGAAACUGCCCCGACGCCUACAGCUAUCCCAAGGACGAUCAGACGAGCACCUUCACCUGCCCCGGCGGCACCAACUACAGGGUUGUCUUCUGCCCUUGAGAUCACUGACGCCACUAAUAAGCCGCCCUCGUGCAGGCAACCACGCAUAUAGAUAUAUAUACUAGUCUCCUACAAUACAAAUAAGAUGUCAAGAGUGAUGGAAGGUAUUAGCCUUCUCUUGGGCUAAUACUGUUGACUGAUGUAAUAGAAGUGGUGCAACCAACUAAUAAGAUGCAUAAUAUCAUCACAGCAUGAGUGCUUUUCCAUUGAUGUUUGAAUCAUUUUGUGAGAGCAAUCAGCUUAUGCAAUCAGCAAAAAGAAUAAUUAAACCAUUUCUAUUUAUGUCUUGUUGGCUUAAAACAUGAAUUGAUUUUGAAACAUAAUGAACCC
rnacentral:lncRNA from 1 species